AAUAUUGGGCAAUGGGGGAAACCCUGACCCAGCAACGCCGCGUGAAGGAUGAAGGNUUNNGGGUUNUNAACUUCUUUGAUCAGNNNNNAAACAAAUGACGGUACCUGAAGAACAAGCCGCGGAUAACUACGUGCCAGCAGCCGCGGUAAUACGUAGGUGGCAAGCGUUAUCCGGAUUUACUGGGUGUAAAGGGCGUGUAGGCGGUUCUGCAAGUCGGGUGUGAAAUUUCCGGGCUUAACCCGGACGGGUCACCCGAAACUGCGGAACUUGAGUACUGGAGAGGAUAGUGGAAUUCCUAGUGUAGCGGUAAAAUGCGUAGAUAUUAGGAGGAACACCAGUGGCGAAGGCGGCUAUCUGGACAGUAACUGACGCUGAGGCGCGAAAGCGUGGGGAGCAAACAGG
rnacentral:rRNA from 1 species